rnacentral:lncRNA from 1 species
UACUACAAUUGCAUCGUCAUCUGGUACUACUACAACUGCAUCGUCAUCUGGUACUACUACAGUUGCAUUGUCUGGCACUGCUGCAACCGAUCUAAAUUGGAGCAGCUACAGGCUUUAUCGCUCCCAGCACCCAG